ACAGAGGGGCCCCUCUCCCCAAAGGGACCAGCCAGAUCAGAAGCCGGGUCUUUUAACCGUGUCCUUCGGUUACGGGCUCGCGGCUGUGGUCCUCAUGCUUCCGGUGGCCCCACUGCGCAAUAUCCAGGCCUGGUGGCCCUGUCCCGAGGCCCUUGUGCAGGCGUCCUGCCCAGGAGGCCCUGCUCGCCCAGCAGAGCCGUCCCUGAGAUGCACGAGCCUGACGGUGUCGGCCCUCUGUCGCCGUGUAACACGCAGCCCAUGCCCAGCGGCUCACACAAGCACACGUCUGCACGUUUCUGCAGGCUUGGCACCCAGGCUGGUCCAGCUCACAGACUCCUCGAGGCGGCGGCCGCACUGCGACCGUCUGUGGCCCUGAGGCUGGACGGGGACCCAGGGGGCCACCUCGGGGCGCCUCACCUGAUGACGCUCAGUGGGACUCACCUGCUGAAAAGCCAGCCAGGCCUGGGCGCAGGUGUGAACACACACACACACACAUACACACACACACACACUCGUUGUCUCUGCUUGAUCAGUUAAGCUGCGUAUUUCCGGGAAACAGUCUCUUUCGUUUAAGGUCCCGGUUUUGGGUGCGGAGCUGGUGGUUGUUUCUCAGGCCUCGACCGCCUCCCUCACCCCCACUGGGAACGGGCGGGUGCAAGAGGCUGGAAGCCCUGGAGACGAGCACAGCAGCUGAGUGUUUCCGACCCUCUGGAGAACCUGCCCCCCUUCUUGGUUCUGAUCCCCAAGGUGGGCGUUGGGCCGGAUCGGGCGUCGAGGCCUGUGGGCCGCCCGGCAACCCCUCUGUCUCUCGCCAGCCGCCAGCUCACUGCCUCUGGAGGCUGAGCCCCUAAGUGACAGGUCUGCAGUGAGUCAGCGGCGUGAACGUACCCCCUCUGAUGCCCCUGCCCCUGACUCCUCCAGAGCCCUGCGGGCGCCAGUGGGCCCCCAGCAGCCCCUUGCAGCCCCCCCCCCCCCCAUGGCCUGCUCAGGCUCGGCCCCCAGGCCCACCCUCUCCAGGCGCCAAGGCCGGGCCUCCUGUAUGUCUGAUUAAGCGGCUGUACCCUGCCGCGCCCCCUGCCCUCCUCAGGUUCACCCUUUGCUGGACGGGCUCACAGAACCCCAGACAGCGCUGCAUUCACUCACACCUGCUUAUUCCAACAGACGGCCCAGGAAGAGGCGCCCGGGGCCAGGCCGGGGGCGGGGGCAGGGGUGGCGCAGAACUCCACCCCCUCACUGGGGGCCCGCCCCUCAGCUGCUCGGCUGCCAGGGCCACCCUUGAGGGCAGUUACGGAGGUUGCGUCACCUGGGUGUGACCUGGACAGAAGCCAAAUGUAUGUUUCUUUUCUGUUCUUUUGUCUUUUUUUUUUUUUUUUUUUUUUUUUUUUUUUUUGUCUUUUCAGGGCCGCACCUGUGGCAUACGGAGGUUCCCAGGCUAGGGGUCGAGUUGGAGCUGUAGCUGCUAGCCUACACCACAGCCACAGCGACGCGGGAUCCGAGCCACACUUGUGACCUACACCACAACUCAUGGCAACACCGGAUCCUUAACCCACAGAGCGAGGCCAGGGGUUGCCCCUGCCACCUCACAGAGACAGUGUUGGGUCCUUAAUCCUCUGAGCUACAAUGGGAACUCCCCGUAUUUAAGUCUAUAAGCCGUUUGGGGUUUACUUUUGUGUGGAACCUGAGGGCAGGUCCACCUUCAUUGGUCUACACGCGGCUGAAGACACCGUCUCGUCCCCGCUGUGUCUUCUCGCCUCCUUUCUGAAGACGUGACACCUCUUGGGGCCACGUGCGCCGUGUGAAGAGUCGGUGUGUUUGCGCUGUGCGGGCACCCGUCUCUUGGCGGUCGUGUCUCUUUCACGGUGGCCUGAACGCUGGAACCAUGUUGUGGUCGCAGAUGACUUGUGUCCUGGCCACAGACCGUCUGGCCAGAGGGUUCCAGUUCUGCGCUGUGGACCAAAAGGAGAGAGGCCACGGCGCGUUCCCUUUAGUCCACGUGUGCAGGGCUGGGCCCCGCUGCGCUGGGGUCUGCACGCGGAAGUGACCUUGCUUUGUAUAAAGAAAACAUUACUUCAGGAGCUCCCCUUGUGGCUCAGGGGUAAUGAACCUGACUAGCAUCUGUGAGGACGUGCCUUUGAUCCCUGGCCUUGCUCAGUGGGUUAAGGACCCUGUGUUGCCGUGAGCUGUGGUAUGGGUCGCAGACGCGGCUCGGAUCCCGCGUUGCUGUGGCUGUGGUGUAGGCCAGUGGCUACAGAUUCGCUUCGACCCCUAGCCUGGGAACCUCCAUGUGACUCGGGCGAGGCCCUAAAGAGACAAAAAAAAAAAAAAAAAGGAAGGAAAAGAUUAUUUUAGGAGUCCUCAUUUUGUGACCAAACGUGUGGCCAGUUGUGGAAUCUUUACAGACCGGACUCUGCAGACUCUCCCUCUCAGUGCCUCACUUCCCACAGCAGAGCCACUAAACCAAAAACAAGUCCGUUUGUCUUGUGGGGCCUAUGAUGUGUCCCCAGAAGCGCUGGGCCCGGCGGGAGCUCUGCGCACACGUGCGGGAGCCAGCGCCCGACCCCGCCGCGGCUGUGGCGGUCGCCCCCCACGCAUCACCACGCCGCAUUCUGCCCUCGGAGCCCCAGCACAUGGUGAUGGGUGGGGAGCAUGGCUGCCCAGGAGGGGAGCCCGGAGGUGGCCCUGGGACAGGAGGAGCCAGGCGGAGGUGUGGGCAGCACGUGGCGCCACCCGAAGCUGCAGGGCCCGGAGUUGGGGGUGGGGGCCGGGGCUGGGGUCCCGGGAAAUGAAGGGGCUUCAUGUGCCGAGGGGCUACUCCUUCGUGUGGCCCAGAGGCGGUAGGGGGUGAGGAGGCCAGUGCGCCCCCCACUGCAUGGCCUGGGUGGGUUGGGGUCCCGACCUGCUGUGGGACAACCAGGGAGAGGGCCGCUGAGCGGGAGGGACGCCUCUGCAGUCUGGGA
ensembl:lncRNA